GAUCCUGGCUCAGGACGAACGCUGGCGGCGUGCUUAACACAUGCAAGUCGAACGAUGAAGAAAAGAAUCGAAGCUUCGGCAGAAAUUCAUUUCGGAUUAGUGGCAGACGGGUGAGUAACGCGUGAGCAACCUACCUCUUACAAAGGGAUAGCCUCGGGAAACCGGGAUUAAUACCAUAUAACAUUGCGACGAAGCAUUUCGAUGCAAUCAAAGCUACGGCGGUAAGAGAUGGGCUCGCGUCCCA
rnacentral:rRNA from 1 species